UGACUUAGUGGCGGACGGGUGAGUAACGCGUGGGCAACCUGCCUUUCACAGCGGGAUAACAGAGGGAAGCUUCUGCUAAUACCGCAUAUACCUUUUUAACGCAUGUUAGGGAGGGGAAAGAGCUAUCGGUGAGAGAUGGGCCCGCGUCCGAUUAGAUAGUUGGUGGGGUAACAGCCUACCAAGUCGACGAUCGGUAGCCGGCUUGAGAGAGUGAACGGCCACAUUGGGACUGAGACACGGCCCAAACUCC
rnacentral:rRNA from 1 species